rnacentral:rRNA from 1 species
AACGAACGCUGGCGGCAUGCCUAACACAUGCAAGUCGAACGAGAUCUUCGGGUCUAGUGGCGCACGGGUGCGUAACGCGUGGGAAUCUGCCCUUUGGUUCGGAAUAACAGUUGGAAACGACUGCUAAUACCGGAUGAUGACGAAAGUCCAAAGAUUUAUCGCCAGAGGAUGAGCCCGCGUAGGAUUAGCUAGUUGGUGUGGUAAAGGCGCACCAAGGCGACGAUCCUUAGCUGGUCUGAGAGGAUGAUCAGCCACACUGGGACUGAGACACGGCCUAGACUCCUACGGGAGGCAGCAGUGGGGAAUAUUGGACAAUGGGCGAAAGCCUGAUCCAGCAAUGCCGCGUGAGUGAUGAAGGCCUUAGGGUUGUAAAGCUCUUUUCCCCGGGAUGAUAAUGACAGUACCGGGAGAGUAAGCUCCGGCUAACUCCGUGCCAGCCGCCGCCGUAA